AUCCAACUGACGAGUCCCAAACAGGACGAAACGCGCGUCCUGGAU
rfam:Schistosoma margrebowiei strain Zambia genome assembly, scaffold: SMRZ_scaffold0002552